AAUGCUGACAUAAGUAACGAUAAAGCGGGUGAAAAGCCCGCUCGCCGGAAGACCAAGGGUUCCUGUCCAACGUUAAUCGGGGCAGGGUGAGUCGACCCCUAAGGCGAGGCCGAAAGGCGUAGUCGAUGGGAAACGGGUUAAUAUUCCCGUACUUGGUGUUACUGCGAAGGGGGGACGGAGAAGGCUAUGUUGGCCGGGCGACGGUUGUCCCGGUUUAAGCGUGUAGGUGUGUGUUCCAGGUAAAUCCGGUUCACUUUAACACUGAGGCGUGACGACGAGGCACUACGGUGCUGAAGCAACAAAUGCCCUGCUUCCA
rnacentral:rRNA from 1 species